rnacentral:misc_RNA from 1 species
AAAGAGAGAAAAAAAAAAGGCAGCAAAAUGAUCAAUGGGUACCAAAACCAACACCGGGCAUGAGCAAACAUGACAGUUAUUGAUUUCUCAAUCAUCAUACAAGGAAACUACAGGUUCUUUCAAUUUGUUGAUGUAGUUUAGGCAUCCAAUCAUCUAGACCAAUUAUGAAUAGUCAUUUCCGACAUCUUCGCAUAUCAGCCAACACCUGACCCGAGUAAAAUCACCAUGCAUAUAUAUCAACAAGCGAGACCAAGACUGCAGAAAAUUGGUAAUGCAAAACCCCAGCUUCUAACACCAAAAACACUUACAUUCAACCACAAAACAAGUAUGCCACAGGGCUACAACCUUCAUACAUAGAGAAACAAAAGUUCAAAACUGCUCAAAGCAUGCUACUACAAUAUAGAAUUACUUAUUUCAAUUCCCCAUCCUAACAUGCCUAAAUGAAUAAUCUGGCUCGUUUGCUAAUUGAUACCUUUCCCAAAUGAGCUUCAGUUACAAUUAGGGCCUGGGAUUCACCAAUUAGGAAUUUGGAGGAGGAGUUGAAGAGGAAUUUCCACGGCGAAGAUCUUCAAUCAAGUCACCGAGCUCCUUGCGAGCUGAUUCUCUUCCGAACAUAAAACCAUACCAAAAGGAAACAGCAGAGAAUAAUCCUGCAGUGGCAACUGUUUGAAUGAGAGUGAAUGUUUUUCCCAUUUCUUUUCACUUGGCUAGCGUGCGUCUCUUCUACUUCUAUUAAGAUUCAGACCCGG